rnacentral:rRNA from 1 species
UACGUAGGGGGCAAGCGUUAUCCGGAUUUACUGGGUGUAAAGGGGGCGCAGACGGCCAUGGCAAGCCCGGUGUGAAAGGCCGGGGCCCAACCCCGGGACCGCUCUGGAAACUGCCCGGCUGGAGUGCGGGAGAGGUAAGCGGAAUUCCUAGUGUAGCGGUGAAAUGCGUAGAUAUUAGGAGGAACACCAGCGGCGAAGGCGGCUUACUGGACCGUGACUGACGUUGAGGCUCGAAAGCGUGGGGAGCAAACAGG